GACGAACGCUGGCGGCGUGCCUAAUACAUGCAAGUCGAACGCAGUGGGUACGGGUUAGUAACACGUGGGUAACCUCCCAUCAGAGGGGAUAACACUUGGAAACAGGUGCUAAACCGAUACUGAUGGAUGGACCCGCGGUGCAUUAGCGAGCUGGUGGGGUAACGGCUCACCAAGGCCACGAUGCAUAGUCGUCCUGGGGGGUUGUCAGGCACACGUGGGACGGGACCACGGCCCAGAUUCUUACGGGAGGAAGAGGUGGGGAAAUUUCGGCAAUGGAGCAAAGUCUGACCGAGCAACGCCGGGUGAGGGAAGAAGGUUUUCGGAUCGUAAAACUCUGUUGUCAGGGAAGCUGUAUCUAACCAGAAAGCCCCGGUUAAUUACGUGCCAGCGCCCGCGGUAAUA
rnacentral:rRNA from 1 species